rnacentral:rRNA from 1 species
GACGAACGUUGGCGGCGUGCUUAACACAUGCAAGUCGAACGGAAAGGCCCUGCUUUUGUGGGGUGCUCGAGUGGCGAACGGGUGAGUAACACGUGAGUAACCUGCCCUUGACUUUGGGAUAACUUCAGGAAACUGGGGCUAAUACCGGAUAGGAGCUCCUGCUGCAUGGUGGGGGUUGGAAAGUUUCGGCGGUUGGGGAUGGACUCGCGGCUUAUCAGCUUGUUGGUGGGGUAGUGGCUUACCAAGGCUUUGACGGGUAGCCGGCCUGAGAGGGUGACCGGCCACAUUGGGACUGAGAUACGGCCCAGACUCCUACGGGAGGCAGCAGUGGGGAAUAUUGCACAAUGGGCGGAAGCCUGAUGCAGCAACGCCGCGUGCGGGAUGACGGCCUUCGGGUUGUAAACCGCUUUCGCCUGUGACGAAGCGUGAGUGACGGUAAUGGGUAAAGAAGCACCGGCUAACUACGUGCCAGCAGCCGCGGUGAUACGUAGGGUGCGAGCGUUGUCCGGAUUUAUUGGGCGUAAAGGGCUCGUAGGUGGUUGAUCGCGUCGGAAGUGUAAUCUUGGGGCUUAACCCUGAGCGUGCUUUCGAUACGGGUUGACUUGAGGAAGGUAGGGGAGAAUGGAAUUCCUGGUGGAGCGGUGGAAUGCGCAGAUAUCAGGAGGAACACCAGUGGCGAAGGCGGUUCUCUGGGCCUUUCCUGACGCUGAGGAGCGAAAGCGUGGGGAGCGAACAGGCUUAGAUACCCUGGUAGUCCACGCUGUAAACGGUGGGUACUAGGUGUGGGGUCCAUUCCACGGGUUCCGUGCCGUAGCUAACGCUUUAAGUACCCCGCCUGGGGAGUACGGCCGCAAGGCUAAAACUCAAAGGAAUUGACGGGGCCCCGCACAAGCGGCGGAGCAUGCGGAUUAAUUCGAUGCAACGCGUAGAACCUUACCUGGGUUUGACAUGGAUCGGGAGUGCUCAGAGAUGGGUGUGCCUCUUUUGGGGUCGGUUCGCGGGUGGUGCAUGGCUGUCGUCCGCUCGUGUCGUGNGNUGUUGGGUUNGGUCCCGCAACGAGCGCGNCCCUUGUUCCCUGUUGCCNGCCCGUUNUGGUGGGGGCUCCGUGGUGCCCGCCGGGGUCUNCUCGGAAGAAGGUGGGGNUGGCGUCNNGUCUUCCUGCCCCUUCUGUCCUGGGCUUCNCGCCUGCUNCCUUGGCUGGUNCCGCGNGUGGCGNGCCUGUGUGGGUGCGCGCUUAAAANNNNCCCNNUCUCCNUUCNNNUUNNNUUCU